rnacentral:rRNA from 1 species
UACAGAGGUCUCAAGCGUUGUUCGGAAUCACUGGGCGUAAAGGGUGCGUAGGCCGCACGGUAAGUCAGAGGUGAAAUCCCGGAGCUCAACUCCGGAAUGGCCUCCGAUACUGCCGUGCUCGAGGACUGGAGAGGAGUCUGGAAUUCACAGUGGAGCAGUGAAAUGCGUAGAUAUCUGGAGGAACACCGGUGGCGAAGGCGGCAUCCUGGACCAAUAUUGACGCUGAGGAGCGAAAGCCAGGGGAGCAAACGGG